GUGAAUCAUCGAAUCUUUGAACGCACAUUGCACUCUCUGGCAUUCCGGAGAGCAUGCCUGUUUGAGGGUCAGCCUAUAAAAAAUCGCCAUCGUUGCUGUUUCGCGUUGGCGCUCGUCGGAAAUUGGGUCAGCUUAAAUCUUCUCGUUUAAUCGACUUAAAAUUCUCUUUACGAUUCCAUGAACGUUUCUAAGAUUUUCUUUCUUUACCCCUUUAAGGUAUCGAUUUUAUUAGGCGU
rnacentral:misc_RNA from 1 species